ACGGGUGAGUAAUACAUCGAGAACGUGCCCUGUAGUGGGGGAUAACUAGUCGAAAGAUUAGCUAAUACCGCAUACGACCUGAGGGUGAAAGUGGGGGACCGCAAGGCCUCAUGCUAUAGGAGCGGCCGAUGUCUGAUUAGCUAGUUGGUGAGGUAAAGGCUCACCAAGGCGACGAUCAGUAGCUGGUCUGAGAGGACGAUCAGCCACACUGGGACUGAGACACGGCCCAGACUCCUACGGGAGGCAGCAGUGGGGAAUUUUGGACAAUGGGCGAAAGCCUGAUCCAGCAAUGCCGCGUGUGUGAAGAAGGCCUUCGGGUUGUAAAGCACUUUUGUCCGGAAAGAAAUGGCUCUGGUUAAUACCUGGGGUCGAUGACGGUACCGGAAGAAUAAGGACCGGCUAACUACGUGCCAGCAGCCGCGGUAAUACGUAGGGUCCAAGCGUUAAUCGGAAUUACUGGGCGUAAAGCGUGCGCAGGCGGUUGUGCAAGACCGAUGUGAAAUCCCCGAGCUUAACUUGGGAAUUGCAUUGGUGACUGCACGGCUAGAGUGUGUCAGAGGGGGGUAGAAUUCCACGUGUAGCAGUGAAAUGCGUAGAGAUGUGGAGGAAUACCGAUGGCGAAGGCAGCCCCCUGGGAUAACACUGACGCUCAUGCACGAAAGCGUGAGGAGCAAACAGGAUUAGAUACCCUGGUAGUCCACGCCCUAAACGAUGUCAACUAGUUGUUGGUGAUUCAUUUCCU
rnacentral:rRNA from 1 species